rnacentral:rRNA from 1 species
UACGUAGGGGGCGAGCGUUGUCCGGAUUUAUUGGGCGUAAAGAGCUCGUAGGCGGUUCGGCAAGUCGGAUGUGAAAUCUCCACGCUCAACGUGGAGGGGCCAUCCGAUACUGCCGUGACUCGAGUCCGGUAGGGGAGUGUGGAAUUCCCGGUGUAGCGGUGAAAUGCGCAGAGAUCGGGAGGAACACCCGUAGCGAAGGCGGCACUCUGGGCCGGUACUGACGCUGAGGAGCGAAAGCGUGGGGAGCGAACAGG